rfam:Triticum aestivum genome assembly, contig: Triticum_aestivum_CS42_TGACv1_scaffold_393892_5AS
AGAUGAGAUAAUGAAUGAUUAAUUUACCUACUGGUUUGAUUGGUAACAUGAUGGCCUAAAUACUGAACCGAAUCUGAUCAUCC